rnacentral:ncRNA from 1 species
AACAUCCUGUCCUUGGAGUUGCGCUACUGUUCAGUGAGUGUAUAGUGAGGGUAGUACUGUUAACACCUACAAAACACACCUACAUCAACUAGAGCUUUGCUUUACCUCGGUUUUACUAUCUAUAUAA